AUCUAGCUGAUGAGUCUAAAAUAGAACAAAACGCACGUCCUGGAU
rnacentral:hammerhead_ribozyme from 1 species